rnacentral:rRNA from 1 species
UGGGGAAUAUUGCACAAUGGGCGCAAGCCUGAUGCAGCAACGCCGCGUGAGCGAGGAAGGCUUUCGGGUCGUAAAGCUCUGUCCUUGGGGAAGAAGAAUGACGGUACCCAAGGAGGAAGCCCCGGCUAACUACGUGCCAGCAGCCGCGGUAAUACGUAGGGGGCAAGCGUUAUCCGGAAUUAUUGGGCGUAAAGAGUACGUAGGUGGUUUUGUAAGCGCGGGGUGAAAGGCAGUGGCUUAACCAUUGUUAGCCUUGCGAACUGCAAGACUUGAGUGCAGGAGAGGGAAGCGGAAUUCCUAGUGUAGCGGUGAAAUGCGUAGAUAUUAGGAGGAACACCAGUGGCGAAGGCGGCUUUCUGGACUGUAACUGACACUGAGGUACGAAAGCGUGGGGAGCAAACAGGAUUAGAUACCC